CUUUAGGUACAGGUACAGCAAUCUAAGUAGUCAGUGGAUGCGGGGAGUGGUAAACAGCGAGGGGAGGAAAAUGACAGCUGGUGAGUCGGCGAGCUGGCGAGUUUGUUAAUACAAUUUUCCCCUCCAUCGGUUGCUAUCGUCUCCAUAGUGCCGUAAUGUUUAUUAUUACGUGUUGAAAAUUCAAAAGGAACAUUUUCUGCAGAUACCAACGACAGUUUCAGAGUACAGGAUGCUGUGAUUCCGCCACGCGAGAAAUUAAUCGGAAAUAAAACAAAUUCCUUAUGUGAGGAUGACACAGACGAUUGCGUAGCGCAGCUCAUGAUUCGUUCGGCUCGAAAAGGACAAUUUCAAUUACGGAGGAUAUUAUGUACCUGCUACAGAAAACAAAUAAAUUCAUCAAUUUCAGAUGCUUCUUCACAACGUGCGUUUUGAAGAUGGGAAUUGGAGCAAAACAAGCAUUUGCUAUUAUGGAGAGUUGUGCUAUUCCCGUGUAGUUCCAGUGAUACAGUGACACAAUUCAUAAUGUGUUGAAAGUGUAUGAAUAAAAACUUUAUGCUAGAAAAGAAACUUAAAGUUA
rnacentral:lncRNA from 1 species